CGUUGACCUCGGAUCAGGUAGGAAUACCCGCUGAACUUAAGCAUAUCAAUAAGCGGAGGA
rnacentral:rRNA from 3 species